CAGAAGGAGGUGGCGGAGGUUGGCGGUGGGGGAGUAACGUGUUAGAACUUCCGUGAGGAUGGAGGAAGCAGUCACCACCCUGGCCUCGGUUCCUUUAUGUGUCUCACCCGCGUCCCGGCAGCCAUCUUAGAUCUACUGUGUAUGGCAGACCAGGACUCUCCGAGGAAGAAGCCUGGGGCGCCUCGCUCUCCAUCCCACUUUUUCCUUCGCAGGGUUGACCGCCACAGGAAAGAACAUGACAAGCGUCUCUGAUGAUCCUGAUCCUUGUGCGGCUUCAUGAGCCUUUGUGUUUGGCGAGAGGGAUCCAACAACCGAGGGAGCUUUGCUGGUCUCCCUUCAAUGCUGUCUGUGUUUGCCAAUGUGCUACAUCAAGAACAACUCCGUGUGAGAAGGUCAGGCUGGAAAGGCAAGCGGCUUGACCUCCCAUAUGUCAAGAAUCGUGGGGUUGGGGAGUUAGCUCAGCGGUAGAGCGCUUGCCUAGCAAGCACAAGGCCCUGGGUUCGGGCCUCAGCUCCGGAAAAAAAAAAAAAAAAAAAAGAAUCGUCUGUGCAAGGUGGCCAGGCGGCGACAAGAACUCACGACUUCUCCCCUUGCUUCCCACCGUUUAUUUACAGACAGCAACCUAAAUGUCCCAGAAUAAGAGAAUGGAUAAAUGUCAUUGAAACCCGAACAUUGAAUCACUAAACUUUGACUGUCACUAAACAUCUCUCAGCUAACUAAGCUUCCCAGAAGGUUUUUACUUCUCACACAGCCACAGGCCAUCCCUUCUGUGCUGCAGGAGGGGCCAUGUGCUAGGGACUGAGUGGACUCCCAUGAGCAUCGGGUACUCAAUACAUUCCCACAGGGUGUUACUAGUAUAGCGAGCUCUCUUCCCAUAACAGAACCCCAGAGUGCCUUCCCAGUAGCAAAGGUGUCCUUGGCAGCUUGUCUUAAGGCCUGGAACUGGACCUGAAACCUGCCUCUGAGGCCCUGAUGUCCACAUUAGCCCUCACACUGUUCUAGCUCCAUCCAGCCUGAUGGAGCUCAGUUCAGCCAGGAUUCCAGAGAGGAAGUUUCCUCAAAUCAGUAGCCUACUCUGGAAAAAGAUGAGGGACCCUCUUACAAAUCUAGGCUGUAAUUCUCAUCCCUUUCCAGAGUCAAACGGAUGGACAGACGGCUGCCUGAUGGGAGAGUUGCAGUUUUCUGCUCACACAAACUUACAACUUGCAUAACAGUGAGGAUCUGGUCUCCUCCGGGUUAUGCAGGAGGCAGUGCUGUGAUUGGUGCUACAUGCCUGGGCCAUCCCAGCACACCAGGAAAAUGCACAGAGCUCACAAAGAGGCUUUGUAGCACCUCAGAGCAGUGUGGUCAUACCAUGGACCAGGCAGGCUGCACCUCAGAAUCCCUGGGCAGCAAAGGUAUCACAGCAGCGGGGUGGUCCCCAAAACUCUACCGUCCUCACACUCAAAGGAGGAAAGGAGACCUCGGGCUUAAGAAACAGACUCCACGAGGUGACUUAGCACCCUUGGGUCUGACCGAAGGGUCCUGUACCACAGCAGCUCCUGAGGGAAAGCAGUACUGCCUGGGCAGGGUCUGGAGAUGCAGGAGGAUGCUAAGCUUGAGAAAGGGUCAGCCUGCACAGUCUGGCCUAGGGAGACCCUAGACACCACCCUCGUCCCUCAUGUUUCUCCAGAAAAGAGCCACCCUCCCCCUUGGUGAUUAGAUAUGCUACCUGGUUCAGCCAACACCAGUAGGCAGGACUCGGUGAUAAGGUCAAUGACCUUUAAGGAACUGCCCUGUGAGUACUUUGGCAUGGCAUUGGGCAGCUGAAGGAACUCAGCCAUCCAUUGUGGCUUUCUAAGCUGCUCAUAGCCCAGCGCUUGCUGCCUAGCCCAGUUUCCUGUCUGUCACCUCCAUCCAUUCAACAUUCCCACACCACAUGCUAUGGGUGGCCCCACCUCAGGCAGGGCAGUGCUCUGGUGUGGGGUAGAGAGCACAGUAGAGAGCCAAACCACACAAGCUGCAUCUAACCAGAAACUCAAUAUCCCUUUCCCUGUUCCCUCUCCUUCCCUGCCCCCUUCUGCUUUGUGUGUAUGUGUGUAUGUGUGUAUGAGAGAAAGAAUGCAUUCCCAAUUAGUGAAAGCUUCAUCCUUCACUCUCUUCCUUCACCAUUGCUCCUCCCAGGGGACUUGGGCUGGUGGCAGCAAGCUUGAUACUCCAGGAAUGCCAGGUGACUCCAUAUCCUGCCGAGAUGACAACCGAAAUCAGCCCUCACAGGACUCAACAUCAUUAGUCACUAGGGAAAUGCGAGUCAAAGCUACAGUGAAAUACUACUGUACGUCAUGGGCUGGAGAUUGGCGUUAAUGCUUUGACUCUGCAUGUCCAGAUGCAUGGUUUUUGAUCUGUCAAUAAAGAUGUCAGCAGCCAGUGGCA
rnacentral:sRNA from 1 species